CAUCGUCUUUCACAAAAUGUGCCGCUGAAUCACCAUCUCCUACCUGCUAUAUCCGUAUUGUGGCGUCCCAGUUUAGAGUCGCAUACCAAAGUAGGACAAGCGGCAGGACAGAGCAACUUUCAGACAACCUUGGCAGAAUGACUAAGCUUCUCGGGCCAGACUGAGGCAAAAGAGAAGCGUGGAGAAAGUGAAGGAAAAGAUGAGACGUGCUGCAAAGCAAGAACAAAAAGAAGAAAGGAGGACAAAACGCCAGCCAGUGUUGUUUUCAGAUGCAGCAGACCUGCUCUUUACCGAAUAGCUGACAGGCACGGUUAACAACUCGCCGACUAACAUGAUGGAGCAAUUACUAUCUGAAGAGGCGCAUACUUCCCUCAGGAGCUAGUGUGGACUGAAAGAAGCCUCAAGGAGAAAGCACUGGAACUACAAUUAUGAGCUGACCGGACACACAUCUCCACCACGCAGCGCUGAAGAUGAUCCGCAGCGGCUGGUGUGCAAACAGACGACCGUGUGCCGUUCAAGCAAUAAAAAUGUUAGGCGUCA